AGAAUGAACGCUGGCGGCGUGCUUAACACAUGCAAGUCGCGCGCGAAAGGGGCUUCGGCCCCCGGUAGAGCGGCGAACGGGUGAGUAACACGUGGGUAAUCUGCCUGGGAGCGGGGGAUAACCUGGGGAAACUCGGGCUAAUACCGCAUACGUCCGCCGGACUUCGGUUCGGUGAGGAAAGGUGGCCUCUGCUUGCAUGCCUCCACUCCCAGAGGAGCCCGCGCCUGAUUAGCUAGUUGGAGGUAACGCCUACCAAGGCGACGAUCAGUAGCCGGCCUGAGAGGGCGAUCGGCCACACUGGAACUGAGACACGGUCCAGACUCCUACGGGAGGCAGCAGUGAGGAAUCUUGCGCAAUGGGGGAAACCCUGACGCAGCAACGCCGCGUGGAGGAUGAAGGUCUUCGGAUCGUAAACUCCUGUCAGAGGGACGAAGGCUUGCGGCGAAUAGUCCGUAAGCUUGACGGUACCCUGAGAGGAACGCCCCGGACUAACUCUGUCGACCAGCACGGCCG
rnacentral:rRNA from 1 species